UCAGCAAAGAAAUACAUAUACAAUGAAAUUGAAGAACAAAAGAAUGAAAUUGAACUAACAGAACAACAAGAUGCUGCUGACAACGAAAUGUUAAUGUCAACGAAAUGCUGUUGUCUGCUGUCUAAUAGAACAACAAAACGCCUUAAGCCCUUAGUGCCUUAAUCCACCAUUCAAAAAAUGUGACAGUAGCACUGUAAAAAUGUUUUUUAAAAAAGUCAAUCUUUAGCAGUUAUAGCACAAAUUAUGGAAGAAACUAGAAAGAUACCUUUGAAUUUUGAUUCUUUGAAGUCAGUUGCAACAACAACCGAUCUCUUUCUAAAUUUGCGAAACUAUCGCAGCCGAUCUUUUUCUGUAUUUGGUCUUCAUUUGCAUGGAAUUUGUGAAACUAUCAGAAUGCUAAUGCUAAACCCUAAAUCGAAAUGACUUUCUGAGGAGUGAGGAGCGAGUACUGAGUGAGUGAUUUCGUUUGUUCGUGACUGCUAGUGCC
rnacentral:lncRNA from 1 species